GAUGAACGCUGGCGGCGUGCCUAAUACAUGCAAGUCGAGCGAACAGACGAGGAGCUUGCUCCUCUGACGUUAGCGGCGGACGGGUGAGUAACACGUGGAUAACCUCCCUAUAAGACUGGGAUAACUUCGGGAAACCGGAGCUAAUACCGGAUAACAUGUUGAACCGCAUGGUUCAACAGUGAAAGACGGUCUUGCUGUCACUUAUAGAUGGAUCCGCGCCGCAUUAGCUAGUUGGUAAGGUAAAGGCUUACCAAGGCAACGAUGCGUAGCCGACCUGGGAGGGGGAUCGGCCACACUGGAACUGAGACACGGUCCAGACUCCUAAGGGAGGCAGCAGUAGGGAAUCUUCCGCAAUGGGCGAAAGCCUGACGGAGCAACGCCGCGUGAGUGAAGAAGGUCGUCGGAUCGUAAAACUCUGUUAUUAGGGAAGAACAAAUGUGUAAGUAACUAUGCACGUCUUGACGGUACCUAAUCAGAAAGCCACGGCUAACUACGUG
rnacentral:rRNA from 1 species